rnacentral:misc_RNA from 1 species
UACGCAGGGUGCGAACGCUAAUCGGAAUUACUGGGCGUAAAGCGCGCGUAGGUGGCUUGAUAAGCCGGUUGUGAAAGCCACGGGCCCAACCUGGGAAAGGCAUCCGGAACUGUCAGGCUAGAGUGCAGGAGAGGAAGGUAGAAUUCCCGGUGUAGCGGUGAAAUGCGUAGAGAUCGGGAGGAAUACCAGUGGCGAAGGCGGCCUUCUGGACUGACACUGACACUGAGGUACGAAAGCAUGGGGAGCAAACAGG